rnacentral:lncRNA from 1 species
AGUACUGGACCCAUCACAAUUUCAAUACUGGGAAGAGAAAAGCCAGUCCUCUGGGGAAAGAUGAAGCACUGGACCUACAAACUAACUACUUUCAACCCCUGGAUGAAUCUAGGAGCAGAUUAGUCCCGAUAUCAAGGCAAUGUCAAGAGUGAAGGGGAGGAUCAAGAUUUUUUUUGAGUGAUUGUUUCCUGGAAGGAGUAUUAAAGAGAGGCACAGAAGAAUGCUUCUGCAUAGGACAUGAAAACAUACUUGGUAAUCAGCGAUCAUGUGGUAGCAGCCACA